rnacentral:rRNA from 1 species
AGAAUGAACGCUGGCGGCAUGCCUAACACAUGCAAGUCGAACGAAACCUUCGGGUUUAGUGGCGCACGGGUGCGUAACGCGUGGGAAUCUACCCCUUGGUUCGGAAUAACAGUUGGAAACGACUGCUAAUACCGGAUGAUGACGUAAGUCCAAAGAUUUAUCGCCGAGGGAUGAGCCCGCGUAGGAUUAGGUAGUUGGUGUGGUAAAGGCGCACCAAGCCGACGAUCCUUAGCUGGUCUGAGAGGAUGAUCAGCCACACUGGGACUGAGACACGGCCCAGACUCCUACGGGAGGCAGCAGUGGGGAAUAUUGGACAAUGGGCGAAAGCCUGAUCCAGCAAUGCCGCGUGAGUGAUGAAGGCCUUAGGGUUGUAAAGCUCUUUUACCCGGGAUGAUAAUGACAGUACCGGGAGAAUAAGCUCCGGCUAACUCCGUGCCAGCAGCCGC